UAGACCGCAUACAAGUCUGUUGGAAUACAGCGUCAUGGUGGGUGAGAACCCCGUAAUUGAUGCGGAUGCCUAGUGCUUUGUGAUACACUUUCGAAGAGUCGAGUUGUUUGGGAAUGCAGCUCAAAUUGGGUGGUAAAUUCCAUCUAAAGCUAAAUAUUGGCGAGAGACCGAUAGCGAACAAGUACCGUGAGGGAAAGAUGAAAAGCACUUUGGAAAGAGAGUUAACAGUACGUGAAAUUGUUGGAAGGGAAACGCUUGAAGUCAGACUUGCUAUUUGGAGUUCAGCCGCAAGGUGUCUUCUCCAAUUUGCAGGCCAGCAUCAGUUUUUGGGGGUGGAAAAGGGUAUUGAGAAGGUAGCAGUUUCGGCUGUGUUAUAGCUCUUUGCUGGAUUCAUCCUUGGGGACUGAGGAACGCAGCACGCUUUUUGCAAAGUUUUCGAACUUUUCGUGCUUAGGAUGCUGGUGGAAUGGCUUUAAACGACCCGUCUUGAAACACGGACCAAGGAGUCUAACAUGCUUGCGAGUGUUUGGGUGUUAAACCCGGACGCGCAAUGAAAGUGAAUGGAGGUGGGAUCCGCAAGGUGCACCAUCGACCGAUCUGGAUUUUCUAAGAUGGAUUUGAGUAAGAGCAAUUAUGUUGGGACCCGAAAGAUGGUGAACUAUGCCUGAAUAGGGCGAAGCCAGAGGAAACUCUGGUGGAGGCUCGUAGCGGUUCUGACGUGCAAAUCGAUCGUCAAAUUUGGGUAUAGGG
rnacentral:rRNA from 1 species